AGUGGCGGACGGGUGAGUAACGCGUGAGAAUCUGCCUUGGGGUCGGGGACAACCACUGGAAACGGUGGCUAAUACCGGAUAAGCCGAUUGGUGAAAGAUUUAUUGCCCGAAGAGGAGCUCGCGUCUGAUUAGCUAGUUGGUGAGGUAAGAGCUCACCAAGGCAGCGAUCAGUAGCUGGUCUGAGAGGACGAUCAGCCACACUGGGACUGAGACACGGCCCAGACUCCUACGGGAGGCGGCAGUGGGGAAUUUUCCGCAAUGGGCGAAAGCCUGACGGAGCAAGACCGCGUGAGGGAGGAAGGCUCUUGGGUUGUAAACCUCUUUUCUCAGGGAAGAAGCUCUGACGGUACCUGAGGAAUCAGCCUCGGCUAACUCCGUGCCAGCAGCCGCGGUAAUACGGAGGAGGCAAGCGUUAUCCGGAAUUAUUGGGCGUAAAGCGUCCGCAGGUGGCGAUUCAAGUCUGCUGUCAAAGCACGGGGCUUAACUCCGUAAAGGCAGUGGAAACUGAAUAGCUAGAGUGCCGUAGGGGUAGAGGGAAUUCCCGGUGUAGCGGUGAAAUGCGUAGAGAUCGGGAAGAACAUCGGUGGCGAAAGCGCUCUACUGGACGGCAACUGACACUCAGGGACGAAAGCUAGGGGAGCGAAUGGGAUUAGAUACCCC
rnacentral:rRNA from 1 species